AAUAAAUAAAAAUAAUUUAUUUAAAUUUGUCACGGGGCUCCUUCAUUACCCGUUGAAGUUCCUCGCCCUAGCCGCGGUUAGUUAUCGACAGAUCACGGGCGCUGUGGUCUAGGAUGCUCGCGCAGUUAGAAAUAAAUUAACAUAAGUUCCGGGGCCUAGAGAGUAAGCGUUCCGAGAGUGGGGAUAAUUCCACACGGAGGUAGAGUGAAGUUGCCGCACCGAAAGAAGGCAUUGUGAAGCCGGAGCCCAACAAAGCUGCCUCGUAAUUCAACAGUAUAAGGUAAUUAUCUUUGUUCCUUCGAACCUUUUGUGGAACGAAGCAAUU